UAGCAUAUCAAUAAGGGGAGGAAAAGAACCAACAGGGAUUGCCCCAGUAACGGCGAGUGAAGCGGCAACAGCUCAAAUUUGAAAUCUGGCCCCCCGGGCCCGAGUUGUAAUUUGUAGAGGAUGCUUUUGGCAAGGUGCCCCCCGAGUUCCCUGGAACGGGACGCCCCAGAGGGUGAGAGCCCCGUCUGGCUGGCCGCCGAGCCUUUGUAAAGCUCCUUCGACGAGUCGAGUAGUUUGGGAAUGCUGCUCAAAAUGGGAGGUAUAUGUCUUCUAAAGCUAAAUAUUGGCCAGAGACCGAUAGCGCACAAGUAGAGUGAUCGAAAGAUGAAAAGCACUUUGAAAAGAGGGUUAAACAGUACGUGAAAUUGUUGAAAGGGAAGCGCUCAUGACCAGACUUGGGCUUGGCGGAUCAUCCGGCGUUCUCGCCGGUGCACUUCGCCUCGCCCAGGCCAGCAUCAGUUCGCGCCGGGGGACAAAAGCUUCGGGAAUGUGGCUCCUCCGGGAGUGUUAUAGCCCGUUGCAUAAUACCCUGGGGCGGACUGAGGUUCGCGCAUCUGCAAGGAUGCUGGCGUAAUGGUCAUCAGCGACCCGUCUUGAAACACGGACCAAGGAGUCGUCUUCGUAUGCGAGUGUUCGGGUGUCAAACCCCUACGCGUAAUGAAAGUGAACGCAGGUGAGAGCUUCGGCGCAUCAUCGACCGAUCCUGAUGUUCUCGGAUGGAUUUGAGUAAGAGCAUACGGGGCCGGACCCGAAAGAAGGUGAACUAUGCCUGUAUAGGGUGAAGCCAGAGGAAACUCUGGUGGAGGCUCGCAGCGGUUCUGACGUGCAAAUCGAUCGUCAAAUAUGGGCAUGGGGGCGAAAGACUAAUCAAACCUUCUAGUAGCUGGUUCCCCGAU
rnacentral:rRNA from 1 species